UGAUGAUGAUGAUGAUGAUGAUGAUAAUGACGAUGGUGGUGGUUGUGUGAUUGUUGCCGACGAUUACCUUAUCAUCAUCACCAUGAUCAUUAUCAUUAUCAUCAAUUUGG
rnacentral:miRNA from 1 species